rnacentral:tRNA from 1 species
GACUGACUAGCUAAGUGGAUAACGCGAUGGCAUUUGAAGCAGACGGUACUGGGUUCGAGUCCCAGAGUGAAC